rnacentral:lncRNA from 1 species
CAUACAUUUCAUCUUUAAAGUUCCAGAGCCGUUACAGUUGGUAUCAGAGCCGCGUUCCUCAGACUCAUCCCUUACACAAUAAUGCUUAGAGAAAUACCCACCGAUAAAUCGUUACUCAACUCUUCCUUUUGAAAUGCAGGUGCAGAGAAAUGAGGAGAGGAAGGCCCCCACUAAACCGAGCAACCCGGGAUGAUUCACUUCAGGAAGAUGUGGACAGAAUAUUUGAGAUGUUGGAAAGGAUCAUGGCCGCCCAGUAAGGUCGAGAGGAGAGAAGGGAGUUACCCGAACCUCCCCCACCACCACAGGUUGAGCCACCGCUAUAGCAAGCGAAUCCCGAGCCACCCCGGCAC